rnacentral:rRNA from 1 species
GACGAACGCUGGCGGCGUGCUUAACACAUGCAAGUCGAACGAUGAAGCUGGAGCUUGCUCUGGUGGAUUAGUGGCGAACGGGUGAGUAACACGUGAGUAACCUGCCCUGGACUCUGGGAUAACCCCGAGAAAUCGGAGCUAAUACCGGAUAGGACCUCGGAUCGCAUGAUCUGGGGUGGAAAGUUUUUCGGUCUGGGAUGGACUCGCGGCCUAUCAGCUUGUUGGUGAGGUAAUGGCUCACCAAGGCGUCGACGGGUAGCCGGCCUGAGAGGGUGACCGGCCACACGGGGACUGAGACACGGCCCAGACUCCUACGGGAGGCAGCAGUGGGGAAUAUUGCACAAUGGGCGCAAGCCUGAUGCAGCAACGCCGCGUGCGGGAUGACGGCCUUCGGGUUGUAAACCGCUUUUAGUAAGGAAGAAGCCGCAAGGUGACGGUACUUGCAGAAAAAGGACCGGCUAACUACGUGCCAGCAGCCGCCGUAACAC